UUUGUCCUCAUAACUUAAAAAAAUGUGUUGAAUCAACUCAAUAGCAAUAUCACGUUCACAACAUCACUUAUCGCGAGAUCUCCUCAUUCUCGUGAAGGCUGUUGAAGAGAGAAGAAAGUUGUCAGCCAUACUAGUCAGUUUCUCCUCAAAGUUUGGACAUUUUACUAGAAUACAACUUUGGUAAGUAAAAUAUUCGUAUUUAUUGGCUUAAUGUGUAAAAUUACAUUUGUUGUCUCAGAAGAGUAAGUAUGGUUUAAAGAGUCGUAUAUUCUGAAUGUAAGUUACUGUAUGUAAAUGUUCGUUUCGCAGCACUCUGAAGCCUCAAAAUACAGGCGGUUCCACAGUAUUUUCCUUAUAAAUAUUAAAACAGAUAUUCUCCCAUGCGGGACAGCGGAGCUGAACUUAUGUGGGGAACGAUAAAAAUACAGUCUGUAUGUAUCACUUGAGCUCAGAGCUGCGUUAGAGACCGUUCAAAAAGAGCGCGAGAGCUCAUCGGAUCACUGUAUGGAUUAAGAACGGCGGGAAUUAAAAAACCUGACAGCAUAAGACAUCCGUCAGAUGUACGUUACAUUGAUAUACAUCGAUGAAAAAUUAGGGGGAAAAAAGAAGAUUUCUACUGUGUCUUUUCUGCAUGUUAUAAGGGAAACGAAUGAGCAGCAUAGAUGAGCACCUCCCUCAGAGUUCUUCUGGAGCGCGUAACUUAACGUUACAUUUGAUAUCGCUGAUAUAAACUUAGUUCUAAUGAUUAUUUUACAGUCUACGGUUCAGAUGAAGUUCUGAAGGUAGCGUUACAAACUCUUCUUUCAGUUUUCUGAAGUAACGUUAGUCAUUCAAGUGCCUCACUAGAACCUAGAACCCAGUGUAAUGCUGCGUGAAUAUCUGUUUUUAUACAGUCUAUGGUGAAUAUACGGUCAUAAGUAAAUUUUAUACAUUCAAAUCUAUAUAUUUUAGAAUAAAAGUAAUAAUAGCAUAUAUCUUGUAUAAAUAAAGAUACAAUAACGAUCGACACAAAUGUGUUAAAUUUCCUUUUAUUGUGUUAUAAUUCUGUGUUGUGUCAUUUAAAAGCAUGGUCUGGAUGGUAUAGUUUGUCGUUGGCAUUUAAAACAAACUUGUCAAUACAUUUGACUUUCUCUGUAAAGAUUUAUUUAUAUGUAUGUUUAUUAUUUUACAGUGUUUUAACAUGUUUUUGUAUUUUUCAUGUUUAUGAUAUUUUGGAAUGACUGAAGAUUCAGCGCAGAAUUCAAUAAUCCUGUGGAUGGACCGCAGUGAGUCCUUUUGCAGUUAUCCAUCAAAAUGCUUUGCAGACAUAAUGGAAAUGGCAUUUACAUGGUAGAGCUUGGACAAAGUUCACACAGGCUCUGCGCAGGAAUUCAUCAAGGACAUAACUGCUGGGAUUACGCUUGUGGAUGACCAAACUGAGCACCAUCAGUCUGCAGUGAUGUGAUCCAGCCAUCCAGUGACAUUAAGGAUGUUGAGAAAGAAAUUGAAGAGGGCAUUCUGAAUAUAACUGAGGAGCAGCAAUGUGAUGUGUUUCCCAAGGAAUAACCAACAUUGGUCUCAUUUGGACAUCCUGUCAUCACUGACAUCUCCCAUGUCCCCAAGGCAUUUGGACUCCUAAUGGGUCUGUAUGCAGUGAACAUCCACUACCUCCAGCGCAUUAAAUACACCAUUGAGGCUCUGCAAAAACUUGUGAAGACCAGCUGCUCCCACCGUGUGCUCGCUACAGCGGCAGGAACUGUAGGUGUGGGGGAGUGAAUGUCCAGCGCUCUCUCCACCCUCAACACCACAAAUAAGGUGUCCUUGAGCAAGGCACAACUUCUCCCCGGGUACUGCAGCAUAAAUGGCUGCCCACUGCUCUGGGUGUGUGUUCACGGUGUGUGUUCACUGCUGUGUGUGUGCACUUUGGAUGGGUUAAAUGAAGAGCACAAAUGUAUGUCAUGUCACUUUCACUUUUCAGUGUUCAUGAUGUGUCCAUCGGCUCCACAGCACUCUUUCUUUAAAAAAAAAAAAAAAAAAAAAACACUACUUUUUAAUAAGGACAUUUUGGUUCUUUUGUGCCUUUCACUACAUUUUAGAAUGUACAUUAAAGUUCCAAUGACUUGGAAUAUGCAUGUUCUCAUGUAAACAAAUGUUUUUUCACCUCUCAUUUUCUUAAACAGUAUGUACACAUUUUCAUUAUGUAGCAUUAUGAUGGGGGACGAGUUUGGAAACUUUCAAGAUCCUUCUGAUGUUAACACUUACUGGUCUGGUCAUGUUGUGCUGUGAAAUUUAGAAUCUGACUGUUUAGGUCUUUGUGCUUCCAUGUGCAUUCAUUCCAUUUAUAUCUUAUUAUACAGAAGUACAGUACACUCAUUUUUUGUAACUAAUUGUGAUGUUAUAUACAUAUAUGUUAGUUUCUCAUUUUGACCAUGACUUGCAUUAUGGUGGGGGGGGGGGUGCAUGUGAACUUGUGCAGGGUUGAUAUGCAGAGUUCAACCUUUUGAUUUUCAUAUUGAGUUAUGAAAUUAAAAACAAUCCCUGUGGUUUUGAUCUGAUGAAUUGAAAUGCAACUAUUUGUUUCUCAAUCCCAUGCCAAUGUUAUUUAUUAUACAUCACACUUUCAAGUGUCGGUUCAGAUCUUUAGACGUGUGUUUUUAUUUAGCAUUUUUUCGUUUUGUUUAUCAAUUAUCAGUUGAUGUGUUGACAGCAAAUUGCUUGUUCAAUUUAAAUGUGAAUGAAAGUGUUGUCUCUAUCAUUAAAUAAAUUACAUUAAAAAAGUGUUUUGUCAUCUUUAUUUAAACAUUUAAGGCAGUGGGGUAACAUUUGUUUAUGAUUAUUGAUCGAAGUAAA